UGCUCAGCAAUAUUGUUGAUUGGUCGAUGUAGGUGUAAGUAUACUUGGAUGCAACAGGUUAAAUUUUGCCGAUACAAUAUUAUCUUGUAUUUGAUUUAGUUUAUUUUCCAAAAAUUGUAACUUGAACAUCUGAUCUAAAUAAAGUUGUUGGUGCAUCA